rnacentral:rRNA from 1 species
ACGCUCGACACCUAGGGAGGGCAGCAGUGGGGAAUAUUGCACAAUGGGGGAAACCCUGAUGCAGCGAUGCCGCGUGAAGGAAGAAGUAUCUCGGUAUGUAAACUUCUAUCAGCAGGGAAGAAAAUGACGGUACCUGACUAAGAAGCCCCGGCUAACUACGUGCCAGCAGCCGCGGUAAUCUGAGGCGGGCUGGCGAAGGC